rnacentral:rRNA from 1 species
GACGAACGCUGGCGGCGUGCUUAACACAUGCAAGUCGAACGGAAAGGCCCUGCUUUUGUGGGGUGCUCGAGUGGCGAACGGGUGAGUAACACGUGAGUAACCUGCCCUUGACUUUGGGAUAACUUCAGGAAACGGGGGCUAAUACCGGAUAGGAGCUCCUGCUGCAUGGUGGGGGUUGGAAAGUUUCGGCGGGUGGGGAUGGACGCGCGGCUUAUCAGCUUGUUGGUGGGGUAGUGGCUUACCAAGGCUUUGACGGGUAGGCGGCCUGAGAGGGUGACCGGCCACCUUGGGCCUGCGAUACGGCCCAGACUCCUACGGGAGGCAGCAGUGGGGAAUAUUGCACAAUGGGCGGAAGCCUGAUGCAGCAACGCCGCGUGCGGGAUGACGGCCUUCGGGUUGUAAACCGCUUUCGCCUGUGACGAAGCGUGAGUGACGGUAAUGGGUAAAGAAGCACCGGCUAACUACGUG